rnacentral:misc_RNA from 1 species
GUGAAUCAUCGAAUCUUUGAACGCACCUUGCGCUCCUUGGCAUUCCGAGGAGCAUGCCUGUUUGAGUGUCGUUGAACUUCUCAGAAACCCCUGUCAAAGUGGGCUUUGGAUUGAUGGAGGAUGCACUGCUGCCCCAAUUUUCGGGGGCUCCUCUUUGCUUCUCUGAAAUGGAUGGGUUGUGGCCACGAGCCGGUCGUCGGUAUGAUACGUCUUACCUGCUUCCAACCUGUGCCAGCCGGACAUGACCGCAAGGUCUCAGGAAUUUGACCUCAAAUCAGGCAGGACUACCCGCUGAACUUAAGCAUAUCAAUAAGCGGAGGA